rnacentral:lncRNA from 1 species
GUCGAGAGUGAAUGAGAAGAGCGAUGUGUAUAGUUUCGGUGUCGUGUUACUCGAAUUGAUUACGGGUAAAAGGCCAAAUGAUUCUUCGUUUGGGGAGAAUAAAGACAUUGUUAAGUUUGCAAUGGAGUCAGCUUUGUCUUACUCUUCUCCAUCACCUGAAGACAAAGCUAUGAAUCAAGAUUCACUUGGAAAUUUUCGAGAUCUUCGCAAGGUUGUGGAUCCAAAGAUGGAACUUUCUACGAGGGAAUAUGAAGAGGUAGAGAGAGUUCUCGAGAUUGCAUUACUUUGCACGUCUUCGUUUCCUAUUAGUAGGCCGACCAUGAGGAAAGUAGUAGAGCUGCUCAAAGAGAAGAAGCCACUUGAGUGAGACGGUGCUCGUUUCUUCAUCUGGUUUUAAUACUAAGAUUGUUACUUAAUCAUAGGUGGGCUACUGGAAAACUAAUUUUAAAAACUUAAAUAGCUAGUUAUCUUUUUUUUUGUUAAUUUAAAGAUUAAGAAGCAUGGACUAAGCUAUAAGAUUUUGCAAACUUUAAAUUUAAUAGUCUAAAAGACAAUUAUUGUUGAUGUUCUCGAUAAACCAAUAUACGAGGCAGAUAUAUGUACCAAUCCUCUUCGAAUAAACAGCGUUGGUGUAACUCAUGCUCCAAAAGCAUUUUGCAUCACCAUCAAGAGUGUUUUUGCUUCAAGAGGGAUCUAUGUUCAAGUUUAUUCCAAGACUUACAUUGAAGACAAAUGCCGAUGUUUGAAUUGUUAGUACCUUCUACUCUUGCUCGUUUUAUCUUAAAUUAAUCAAGAGUUUUAUUGACGUUAAUCUAAAGAUAUGAUAGCUUUUGUAGUCCAAUUAAUAAUCUCAUUAAAGAUUCAUGUUAAAAUUGAGUUCAAAUUUCAGAAAGACGAUUCAUUUACCCAUUAUACCACCAGUUAAAUAAGAACUUAACAUUUUUUUGGUUAUAGUAAAAAUAUAAUUUUAGACAAUUGAUCUUCAUAAAUCAGUUAAUAGAUAUACAUAUACAAUUGUAAUAUGUAAAUUUUCAUAAGACAUAUGUCAGUUGUAGAGUUCAUGAUAGCAUAAAUAAAAAUGCUAAACAUGAAUUUUUACAGUUGUCCAGUUUAGAAUGUAAUAAUAAUAAAUAUAAAUUAAUGUUGGAAACACAAAUGUUUUUCUUUUACAAACUAAAAAAACUCUUGGGCCAAAGAAUAUGGUAUUGGGCAGUAACAUCUGGCCCAUUAGAUAUCCACAAGCCUUCUUCUUUCAAUUUAGGGCUCCAGAGACGACCACGUCGCCUCUGUCACGAAACCGCCAGUGACGCUAUCGUCUUUCACAUCCGAUAAGCAUAAGAAAAGCAAAUCGAAGAGAAGAGAAACAACGCAACAAUUGGAAAAAAAAAUGGCGUCUAAGGCUAUCUUCUCCACAAUCCGCCGAUCUCUAACGAAACCACGCGGCGGCGCAGUUUCCCGAGGCCACCACUUGUCCACCUCCGCCGCGACGGCGUCCGAAUCCUACGCAGGCGACGAACACGCGAUCGUGAUGAAAGGAGUUCGAAUCUCAGGCAGGCCUCUCUACCUCGAUAUGCAGUCGACGACCCCGCUCGACCCCAGAGUCUUCGACGCGAUGAACGCCUCUUCCAUCUACGACUACGGGAACCCGCACUCGCGCACGCAUCUCUACGGCUGGGAAGCGGAGAACGCCGUCGAGGUGGCUCGAAUCCAGGUCGCGAAGCUCAUCGGCGCCUCGCCGAAGGAGAUCGUGUUCUUGUCCGGCGCCACGGAGGCGAACAACACGGUGGUGAAGGGCGUGAUGCACUUCUACAAGGACAAGAAGAGGCACGUGAUCACCACGCAGACUGAGCACAAGUGCGUUCUCGACUCGUGCAGGCAUUUGCAGCAGGAAGGCUUCGAGGUAACGUACUUGCCGGUUAAAACCGACGGUUUAGUUGAUUUAGAGAUGCUGAGAGAUUCUAUUAGACCGGAUACCGGUUUAGUUUCGGUUAUGGCUGUGAACAAUGAGAUUGGCGUGGUGCAACCUAUGGAGGAGAUUGGUAGGAUUUGCAAGGAGCAUAAGAUCCCGUUUCAUACCGAUGCUGCUCAAGCUAUAGGGAAGAUACCUGUUGAUGUUGAGAAGUGGAACGUUAGUUUCAUGUCGAUGAGUGGGCACAAGAUCUACGGACCGAAAGGUGUUGGUGCUAUGUACGUUAGAAGGAGGCCGAGGGUGAGGCUCGAGCCGUUGAUGAACGGUCCGGUGAGUUGCCGCCGUAUCUAUGCUAUGGGAAGAAACUUGAAAAGCUAAUUAGUUUCAGUAAUCAGUUAAGCGGCGAGAUCCCGGAAACUUACGGUGAGUGCGACUCGCUUAAUUAUAUUAGAAUGGCGGAUAACAAACUCUCCGGCGAAGUUCCGGUUAGGUUUUCGGAGCUUCCUCUUACUCGUCUCGAGCUAUCCAACAACCGAUUACAAGGUUCGAUUCCUCCGUCGAUAUCCAAAGCUCGUCAGCUCUCUCAGCUCGAAAUCUCCGGAAACAAGUUCUCCGGUGCGAUUCCGGUGAGAAUCUGUGAUCUCGGAGGACUCAGGGUCGUCGAUCUCAGCCGUAACCGUUUCUCAGGAUCUAUCCCGUCUUGCAUUAACAGAUUGAAGAAUCUGGAGAGAUUGGAGAUGCAGGAGAACAUGCUCGACGGCGAGAUCCCGAGUUCGGUGAGUUCAUGCGCCAAGUUAACCGAGUUGAAUCUCUCCGAUAACCGCCUCCGCGGCGGAAUCCCACCGGAGCUCGGGGAAUUACCGGUUUUGAACUAUCUGGAUCUCUCCAACAACCAACUCACCGGCGAGGUUCCGGCGGAGUUGUUGAAGCUGAAGCUUAAUCAGUUCAACGUCUCCGAUAACAAACUCUCCGGCAAGAUCCCUUCUGGUUUUCAACAAGAUAUUUUUCUACCGAGUUUUUUGGGUAACCCGGAUCUCUGCGCCCCGGAUAUGGAUCCGAUUCGACCUUGCCGAUCCAAACCCGAGCCCCGGUUUAUCCUUUUUAUCUCCGUCGUCUGCAUCGUUGCACUAAUCGGAGCUUUGGUUUGGCUUUUUAUCAAAACCAAACCGUUAUUCCAGAGAAAACCGAACCGGACCGAUAAAGUAACCAUUUUCCAGCGGAUCGGGUUCACAGAGGAAGACAUAUACCCGCAAUUAACAGAAGAUAACAUAAUCGGGUCGGGCGGGUCGGGUUUGGUUUACAGAGUGACACUCAAAUCAGGCCAAACGCUCGCGGUGAAGAAACUUUGGGGUGGACCGGGUCAUAAACCCGAAUCCGAAUCCGUUUUCAGAUCCGAGGUAGAGAUUCUGGGUCGGGUCAGACAUGGUAACAUAGUGAAGCUUCUCAUGUGCUGCAGCGGCGAAGAGUUUCGGUUUCUAGUGUACGAGCAUAUGGAAAACGGCAGCUUGGGCGACGUUUUGCAUUCAGAGAAAGAACAUCGCGCCGUUUCUCCGCUGGAUUGGACGACAAGGUUUUCGAUCGCGCUUGGUGCAGCUCAAGGACUUGCUUAUCUACAUCAUGACUCUGUUCCGGCGAUUGUUCACCGUGACGUCAAAAGCAAUAAUAUAUUGUUGGACCAUGAGAUGAAGCCACGUGUUGCUGAUUUCGGUUUGGCUAAACCGUUGAAAAGAGAAGACAAUAAUGGUGUCUUUGAUGUUUCUCCUAUGUCUUGUGUUGCUGGAUCCUACGGCUACAUUGCUCCAGGUUCGAAUUCUAAAUGCUAAACCGAAAUAACAAAUAUUUUUUACUGUUAUUUUUUAUUCUGUUGUUGUGAUUGCACAUGCAGAAUAUGGUUAUACGUCGAGAGUGAAUGAGAAGAGCGAUGUGUAUAGUUUCGGUGUCGUGUUACUCGAAUUGAUUACGGGUAAAAGGCCAAAUGAUUCUUCGUUUGGGGAGAAUAAAGACAUUGUUAAGUUUGCAAUGGAGUCAGCUUUGUCUUACUCUUCUCCAUCACCUGAAGACAAAGCUAUGAAUCAAGAUUCACUUGGAAAUUUUCGAGAUCUUCGCAAGGUUGUGGAUCCAAAGAUGGAACUUUCUACGAGGGAAUAUGAAGAGGUAGAGAGAGUUCUCGAGAUUGCAUUACUUUGCACGUCUUCGUUUCCUAUUAGUAGGCCGACCAUGAGGAAAGUAGUAGAGCUGCUCAAAGAGAAGAAGCCACUUGAGUGAGACGGUGCUCGUUUCUUCAUCUGGUUUUAAUACUAAGAUUGUUACUUAAUCAUAGGUGGGCUACUGGAAAACUAAUUUUAAAAACUUAAAUAGCUAGUUAUCUUUUUUUUUGUUAAUUUAAAGAUUAAGAAGCAUGGACUAAGCUAUAAGAUUUUGCAAACUUUAAAUUUAAUAGUCUAAAAGACAAUUAUUGUUGAUGUUCUCGAUAAACCAAUAUACGAGGCAGAUAUAUGUACCAAUCCUCUUCGAAUAAACAGCGUUGGUGUAACUCAUGCUCCAAAAGCAUUUUGCAUCACCAUCAAGAGUGUUUUUGCUUCAAGAGGGAUCUAUGUUCAAGUUUAUUCCAAGACUUACAUUGAAGACAAAUGCCGAUGUUUGAAUUGUUAGUACCUUCUACUCUUGCUCGUUUUAUCUUAAAUUAAUCAAGAGUUUUAUUGACGUUAAUCUAAAGAUAUGAUAGCUUUUGUAGUCCAAUUAAUAAUCUCAUUAAAGAUUCAUGUUAAAAUUGA